UAUGUGUUUUGACAGCUCUGAUCCCGUGGAGGACUCCUUACACAUUUUACUUACAUGCAACAGAGCCCAGUGAAUGUAGGUAUCAGAUUCUAGGAAGGAUACACCUUUUGUGUCCCUUUGAAGGGAGAUAUGUUCUCUCUUGAGCCCGGCGGGGUUGUCCCAUUGUGAAAAGAGAUAGUCUAUUUCCCCUCUGUGAAGGGCGGACUGGAGAUGGCGGUCCCGCCUGAAGAUGGGCUUCCUUUCCGGAGCGGCGUAAAGGGGAUUGGAGUCUUCCUCCUCCAUUUUUGUCGUGGUUCCCUAGAAUACGGGCGUGAGUUCUUCUUUAAGGGAGCACAAGUGAGCUCGGCUCUCAAGAGAGUAUCCAGAAUGGCAAGUGAGGCCAAUCAGACCAUCCCCUCAUUUAACGGGGACAUAGCUGGGGUUUUCUCGGCGGGGAUGGGGGCUGCUCAGAAAGACCACACACCCGUGGCCACCUACUGGUGCACCAUCCUCGAAGCGUCCAUCAUGGCACAUGACAGGUUUCAAGAAUUACGUAAGUAUCCCGCUGAAUACUUAGUAUGUCUACUGUCUGUUCCUCGGGCUCUUGGCGGUUGGCCUAUAACUCUGUUCCCUAACUUCUGCAUGCGGGCUGUUCAAGACCCCCUCAUGCGCCCUGCAUCUGGCUAAGACAAUCCACUCGUCACCCCGCCAUCGUGAGCAUAUAGAGAGGACGGCCACCACAAGAAUGAAGAAAUCAGAUCCGACCAUGCUGAUUAAGGACCCACAGUCUCUCCCUCUCAUAAUCCCUCGUCAACCAGAGAACUACCUGAAGAAUAAGAUAGCAGAGGGUUUACCGGGUAUAAUCAAUAACAGGGAACUAAAACCCUUGUUUGAACCAUCCGUUGCUGAGAAGAAGAAGGAACUAGUAGAAGACCUGAUAUCCAUAGUACCUUGUAAUCCCAAGCUUAUGUCGAAGAUUAUGACCCUAUCGAAUAUCGGAAAACAAGAGGCCCUUGUGAGUAAAUUCUCCAGCACCCGCUCCAUACAAGCCGCCGCCGCUGGACAAAUGAUUUGUUGAGCCUGAGAAACGGCUACCACAUCCAAGGAAGGCAGCAGGCGCGCAAAUUACCCACUCCCGGCACGGGGAGGUAGUGACGAAAAAUAACGAUACGGGACUCUUACGAGGCCUCGUAAUCGGAAUGAGUACACUUUAAAUAUUUUAACGAGGAACAAUUGGAGGGCAAGUCUGGUGCCAGCAGCCGCGGUAAUUCCAGCUCCAAUAGCGUAUACUAAAAUUGUUGCGGUUAAAAAGCUCGUAGUUGCAUUUGUGCGCCGCGCUGUCGGUGCACCGCAUCCGCAGUGAUACUGACACGUCUGCGGAGCAUAUCGUCGGUGAGCCGUCGUUAACGCGACGGUUCAAUAUCAAAAUCCUAUCGCGGUGCUCUUCGUUGAGUGUCGAGAUGGGCCGACAAUUUUACUUUGAACAAAUUAGAGUGCUCAAAGCGGGCUCAAAAUGCCGCUUGAAUAUUUCGUGCAUGGAAUAAUAGAAUAUGAUCUCGGUUCUAUUUUGUUGGUUUUCAGAACUCCGAGGUAAUGAUUAAUAGGGAUAACUGGGGGCAUUCGUAUUGCGACGUUAGAGGUGAAAUUCUUGGAUCGUCGCAAGACGAACAUCAGCGAAAGCAUUUGCCAAAGGUGUUUUCAUCAAUCAAGAACGAAAGUUAGAGGUUCGAAGGCGAUUAGAUACCGCCCUAGUUCUAACCGUAAAUAUGUCAUCUAGCGAUCCGCCGACGUUACUACAAUGGCUCGGCGGGCAGCUUCCGGGAAACCAAAGAUUUUGGACUCCGGGGGGAGUAUGGUUGCAAAGCUGAAACUUAAAGGAAUUGACGGAAGGGCACCACCAGGAGUGGAGCCUGCGGCUUAAUUUGACUCAACACGGGAAAUCUCACCAGGCCCGGACACCGGAAGGAUUGACAGAUUAACAGCUCUUUCUUGAUUCGGUGGGUGGUGGUGCAUGGCCGUUCUUAGUUGGUGGAGCGAUUUGUCUGGUUAAUUCCGGUAACGAACGAGACUCUAGCCUGCUAAAUAGGCGUCGUCAUUUAGGUGUGCGCGACUCCGGUCGCGCAACUCACUGGCGGCGUAUUAAAGUUCUUCUUAGAGGGACCGGCGUCUUCGAGGCCGGUCCCUCUAAGAAGGUAAUUGGAAUAAUGUAAUUAUUCCAAUUACCUUCAAUGAACAUGAUAAUCGUCUAUAGUGGCGUAAUACAUAUAAGUGCAGAUCUUGGUGGUAGUAGCAAAUACUCCAGCGAGGCCCUGGAGGACUGACGUGGAGAAGGGUUUCGCGUGAACAGUAGUUGCUCGCGAGUCAGUCGAUCCUAAGCUCAAGGAGAGAUCUUAUGUCGAUGCGGCGUGUUUUCUUUUGUGACAAACAACGCCCGUUGAGCGAAAGGGAAUCCGGUUCCUAUUCCGGAACCCGGCAGCGGAACCGUUUCAACAAUCGUUCCCUCGUUUCAAAGCGAGCGUUCGACGGGGUAACCCAAAGUCUAUAUUAACAUCGCGUCAUGGAUAUUAGCGUUCAUAUAGGUAAUAGCGUAAUUAUUAGGUUCAUUUUACCUUAAAACAUUUGCUGGGUUCCAGCGUAGCUUGACCCACUCUUAUUUUAAAAAAGCCUUGCCGGCUUGGAGAGAGUACUGAAGAGCGACACUAUCGCCCGGCGCAGCAUACAACACCGCGCGCUUAGGCGGGGCGCUCGGAGUAGGGAGAGAGGGGAUGUAUGGGGAGGGAUACAGUGUUGUCACGUUGAAAUCCAAGAGGUAAUCUCAAAAAGUGGGUCAAGCUACGCUGGAACCCAAAUAUCCGUUUUCUUCCCUUUGGGGGGAAAACGGUGUUAUUUUGGACACUGACUGCUAAACUAUUGUCAACGACUGACAAUUGUCACAGACAACACUUGUUAAGUCACACAGAUUAAAUAUGACGGGUUAUGACGUAGACUAUAUUCAUAUCGUAGACAGAGAAAAAAUAUUAUGACAAGUUGUAGAAAUUAUUGAACUGGGAUUUUAAUUUAUAUCGGGUGUUCUAAUUUAUGACUCGUUGGGCUCUGGCUCGUUGGCCUUGGUGAGAAUAUGAUAGUCAAAUCUCGAGUCGAGUCGAAAGUCGAAAAUCUUUAUCGUCACUGUGUCCCAGGCUUCUGCCUUGAGUUUAUUAGUCGACUUGUCCGUCCGCUUAUCUUCAAUAUUUUUUUCUAAUUUUACUAAACUAAAGUAAGAAUGUAGUUACGGUAACUUUGUUUAAAAUUACUAUAUCUAAAAUUGCAUGACGAUACACGCCCAAAAUAAUUUUCCUAUGAGUCGGAAUUUAUGAUUUUAUUUAUAAUACUCGUAUAUUUGAUAUUUUUAUUUUGUAAAGUUAGUCACAACUUCUGGUCACAGCAGAGUGCCCAGUUUCAGUGCCCAAGGCAUAGAUAUUUCAUGAUCAAUUUUAUUAAUGAAUUUUAUUUGUUUUAUUUUUUUAUGGCUUUUAACCAAACACGUGAUGAUUUCUGGUCACCGCAGUCCUCAACUCCUUGCCAUUGUUAUAUAAUAUUUUUUACUUCCAUUGACACUGUCAAAUAAUUCGUCAACAAAUGACAACUUCAGCCGUUGUUGUGUUUUGAUGACGUUUCUUCGAUUAGAAUAGUGAGCUGCAAUAAAAUAUUAUAUUUAUUGUAAAGUUUAUAUUGGUGAUGCGGUCGGUGAAGAAUAGGCGACCCGGUGACUUCGAGCAGUCGUCUGUCGCCAUUAUCGACUGCUCUGCUAGUUUCCCGGUCUGCUGUAGUCGCAUGGUUAGUGCCCAGGGCACAGAUAUUUGAAGACCAAUUUUAUUAAUUUUUUUAAAUUAAUUAUUUAGCACCAAACUUCGAGUGGUACCAGCAGGUGGGGAAUUUUUCAUAGUCUGAUCUGGACCUGUAAUGUCCGCGUUAUUGUGGGAUUUCUACCCUGCCUGUUGAAUUGCAACGUGAGGUUCUUUACCUCUUGCUUCAGCUCUGCUAUCUCCCUUGGCAUACUUUCUAUGCUGGAGCCUUGCAGAAGUUGAAUAGGUGACACUGAUCCUAUCGGCUAAAUCCUGUAAUGCACCAGACGAUUGUGAACCAAUUAACGCCUGUAUAUUCGGUGGAAGUCUGCUGCGCCAUAUGUUUUUUAUGAAUUCUUCUGAGAUAGAGGGACCAGCCAAGCUCUGGAGAUGUCGUAAAAACUGGGAUGGUUUACGGCUUCCCAACUCCUCGUGUUUUAGCAGUUGCUGUAUUUUCCGAUCGCGAGAGGCCGAAAGCCGUUUGAUUAGCUCCUCCUUUAACUGUUUAAAGUCGCCGGGGGGAGGUACUCAGAUCUUUGACUUUCUUGAAAUGUGUAUCGUCAAGGUAACUCCUCGUGUUUUAGCAGUUGCUGUAUUUUCCGAUCGCGAGAGGCCGAAAGCCGUUUGAUUAGCUCCUCCUUUAACUGUUUAAAGUCGCCGGGGGGAGGUACUCAGAUCUUUGACUUUCUUGAAAUGUGUAUCGUCAAGGUUACUCACUAUAUAAUAAAAUUUUGUGUACUCUGAUGUUAACCCGGCGGUCUCAAACUGUUUUUUUGUCUGGCAACCACAACUCGGGAUCGUCUGGCCAAAAUGGUAGAACCUUUAUUUUUAUAUACUGGUUCGUUGAUAGGUACGCUGUAUGUGCCUAUUUUGUAUAAAAUAAUGCAUAAUUAAUUCACGGUGCUUCAUAAAUGGUAGAUACUGUCAUUACUAACACACUUACAUAUUUUAAUUUAGUUUUUAAGUACCUUUAUCUACUAAUAUUAUUAACAAUAGGAUAUUUAAUAAUUUAAUCGAUUGCAUGUAAUUUAUGGAUUUUAUUAUCUGAAAUAAAGAUUAUUAUUAAUUACAAAGGCAAUUUAAUAAUAAUAAAAAGUGCGUACAGCCAUUUCUCAAAAUUAUCUCCGCGAUGUUGCAGGCUAAUAUAGCUCGUAUUGAUACAUUAUUUGUAGAUCGUCGGAUCAUAUUCCUGUCUUCUUCCAAUCCAUGUCUUUAUAAUGAUUCAGAGACAGCAUCAUAUGUUUAUUGUGGAAUUUCAUCUGCAAGGGCAAUAUAGUAAAAUUUCAGAAAAAUGUACUGAGUCGACAUUCACAUCUUGGACGUCCAUCGGCUGAUAUGAUGAUGAUGAUGAUGUUGAAGGGCUUUGCGGAGCGGGAAUACCUGCGAGCGACCGGUUGUGUGGGCAUAUGAUCGGAAAUGUUAGUAUGCGCGGGGCUGGACCAUUUAAAAAAGCAAUUGCAAUUCUUUUUUUUUUAUCUUAGAUUGCGCUUGACUACAAUCAUGCCUGAUGGUGAGCAAUGAUGAGGUCUAAGAUAAAACGCGCUUGCCUAGAAGAUGCCUAUUCACUCUUGCCUUGAAGGUGCACAAAUUGUAGGUGUCAGGAAACACAGACGCCGGAAGGGCAUUUCAUAUCUUAGCCGUUCUAAUUAGAAACGGUGACGCAAAACGUUUCGUGCGGGUCGACUGAACGUCGACAACAAAGGGAUGCCAUUUUUCACGGCGUCUCGCUGUUCUGUGGUGGAAUGGGGAUGGAGGAACAAGAUUAUAAAGUUCCUGUGCACACUCUCCGAAGUAUAUUCGGUAAAAUACCGAUUAGACAGGCGACGUUGCGUCGGUGUUGCAAACUUUGCAGUUUCGUCCGUGUCAGCGGUUCGUCACCUAUGAUACGUCUAGCGCGACGAUCAACCGAGUCUAAUGCAGCGAGCUGAUAUUUAGCAGACCCAUCCCAUAGGUGACUGCAGUACACUGUUUUCACCAUUACCAUAAACCCAUCUGUUGAAAUUCAACACGUCAGAAUACAAAACUAUUGUUAUAUUAAAAACUUUGCGGCCAGGUAACAUUCGGGUUCACCUCCCCACAUGUUGGGCGAAGAUAAAACCUUUAUGAUACCACUAAUCAUGGAGGUAGGUAUGUUUACUAUUUCAUGAUGAUAUAACAUAAAUUGUUAAACAAAGUUAAACAUAAGUUCACUAACGGACAUUUCGGAGUUUAUCACUUGUCUAAUACUAUCAAACAGACAGUUACCAUCACCGAUCGAAUUACCAAUUAUCAACUGCUCGAGUGGGAUAUAAUCAUCAGUGUCAGCGAUCUUAGGGGUCUUAUCACCAUUCUCAACAUCAAUUGUACUGAUAUCACGUGCUUGAAUCGAGUCACUACUGACAUCACUAGGAGGCCUCUCCAUGCUUAUCAAUAGCUUCACCCCAAACAUGAGUUGCAUACACCGUGCGAAACCCGUAUUGGCGAUCGGAAAGGAGAUCAUUGGAUUCAAGAUAUGCAAGAAGCUUAGAGUUUAAUAUUCGCUCCAUGCUCUUGCAGAGGAUUGAGGUUAUUGCAAUAGGCCUAUAGUUGGCCGGGUCAGCGCGACUGCCCUUCUUGGGUACAGGUUGUACAUUAGCAGUUUUCCAGGAUUUGGGAACUCGAGAUGUUCUAAGUGAGGGACGAUACAGGCGGGUCAAGACUGGUGAUAAUUCAGGGGCGUAGUACCUCAGGACUAUAGCAGGAAUCCCAUCAGGGCCACUGGCUUUGUUCACAUCUAGAGAACGAAGCGUUUUAAAAACCUUUUUUUGAUGAAUAUCACUGACAUUUCAGAGCUACAGGCAGGGAGGUUAGGUGGACAGACGUUACUACUAUCUAGAAGUGAACUUUUCGCAAAGUGGUUGGCAAGGAGAUUAGCCUUUUCAGUCGCGGAAAUAGCGAGUGACCCAUCGGGUUUCAGCAAAGGCGGCAGCGACGGCUUACAGCAGUUCGUAUUCACUGAUUUUGCAAGGGACCAAAAAGCUUUGCUGCCACUAGGGUAUGUAGCUAAUCUGGCCCCAAUGUGUCUAGUGCGAGAAAAACGAGACUUGUUCAGAACUCUUUUGUAAGCCUUAGCAGCAAUAUUAAAUUGCGAUUUUUUCAUUUUCAAGUCCGGAGCAUUACAACUACGAGCAGUAGCCCAGUCCUGAUUAAAAUUGCGCAGCAAUAGAGAGUUAACACCAUUACGAGAUAAAUAUUUUGUAACUCUUUUAAUGUUUUCAAUUGUUUUUAUCCAACUGGGCAAAGAUGGCAAUCCUUCUUGGUUUUUUGCAUUUAUAAAUUUCAUUGAUUUUAAUAUUGGUAAUACCAUAAUUUAUUAUGUGGCGGCGAUAGGGUAGCAGCAGAUCGAUGAAUUUUGCCAUUUUUAACUUGGCUGAAGGUUCCGUUUACACCAUUGGUUCCCGAAGUGGUCCAGGUGGAGAGUCAAGGGUCCACGAGAGACUCAACAGAGGUCUGCGUUGGCGUGACUAAAAAAUGGGCGUUCACGGUUCGUAAGCAGGCGUCCAUGAAAUUUUAUCUAGUUUCAUACUCAAUGGGGUGGGCGACCUAUCCACGAAGGUCCGGCUCGAAGGACCAAAAAUAGUGAUGUGUUAACGAGCUGGUGGUUGGUUGUAAAUAUAUAUACUGGUUCUCUUCGUGAAUUUUAUUUAAGUAUAUAAAAGACCAAACAACAAUAUUGUGUAUGCGCACACAGUCCGUGCGAGUGAUAUUUCAAGUCGGUCGCUGGCACGACUGCGCUGCGCGGCUGCGCUUGGACAUGGGGUGUUCUCUAAAUAAAACAAAUGAAUAUUUAUUGACUCCUUGUGUUGUGAGUAAAUGUUAAAUGAUUAAAGUAAAGGGACAUGUCCCAUAAUGAGCCUUUAUUAUUUAUAAUUUAUAAGCAGGUCGAUAGUAUUUUUACGGAUAGAAGAUACAAUUUGCUGUUGAGAAAAUAAUUUUCGGAAUUUUAGGAACCCGAAUAAAUAUUUUUUUUGUUUUGCUCCCUUCUCUACAAAUUAAACAUAGACAAUACACUAAAGGUGUUCAAAAAAUUCAUAUUCGGUGUAAGCUGUCAAUGUCAUGUAAUAUUGUCUAAUGUCAAUAAGAAACAAGUUAAAAAGAAACAUUAAAUCGUAGACAGAGAAGAAUUAAAACAAAAAAACACCUUAAAUUGUUUUAAAAACGAAAUUGACGAACGCUACUACGCGAAGAGUAAAUUGUUUUGCUUAGUUGACAUUCGGAAUAAAGCCUCCGUACAAAAUUGGGACAUGUCCUUUAAAUUUGCAAUGGAUUGCCACGUAUUUCCUUAAUCUUCAAUUGUCCUAAAGAAGUUUUCGAGAGGGUCCUGAUUAAAAUUGCGGAGCAAUAAAGAGUUAACACCAUUACGAGAUAAAUAUUUUGUAACUCUUUUAAUGUUUUCAAUUGUUUUUAUCCAACUGGGCAAAGAUGGGCACUCCUUGGUUUUUUGCAUUUAUAAAUUUCAUCGAUUUUAGUAUUGGUUGGUACCAUAAUUUAUGAUGUGGUGACGAUGGGGUAACAGCAGAUCGAUAAAUUUUGCCAUUUUUAACUUGGCUGAAGCUUUCGUUUACACUAUUGGUUCCCGAAGGGAUCAAGGGUCCACGAGAGACUCAAUAGGGGUCUUACGUUGGCGUGACUAAAAAAUGGGGGUUCACGAUUCGUAAGCGGUGCUCCAUGAAAUUCCAUCUAGUUUCAAACUCUGGGGUGUUCUCUAAGUAAAACAAAUGAAUAUUUAUUGAAUCCUUGUGCUGGGAGUAGAUGUUAAAUGAUUAAAUUAAAUUUGGAUGGGAUCACUUUUUUAUUGGCCAACUUUGGUUUUUUUACAGCACAAUAAAUUAUCAAAUUCAGCAAUUAAUUCUCACCUUUUUUCGAAACUAAUAAUUCUGUUGUUUGGACCUGAGCCAUAGUUAGAUAUUUUGUCGAAUUUUGGGAAAUGUUGCUACAGGUGGUCCAGCUAGAUUUCGAAAGUGGUCUAUGAGAAAAAAUAGAAUGGGAACCUCUGGUUUACACUAUCAAAUAGAUCAUAGAACAACAGGACCAAAUCUGCAGUAUUUUAGUAAGUAAGUUUGGGCAAGGCAUAGUAAAUAUUUCGCUUUUCACUCCAGUUAUCAUGAACAUUCAUCAACCUAUAACCAGUCAAAUGCUCAUUAGUUUAUUAAUUAUUCACAAUUAAAAUCGCUAAAAUCAAUUACGUAUGAAUUCAUCAUGUACAUCACUACUAAUGCUUUAUUAGCAUAUGGCUGGUUUUACAGUCACGCCGCUAGACGCGCCGUUGGACAGCGCGCUGUUGGACAGCGCGCGUUUGAACAGCGGUGCACCAACUAGUACGGCGCGUUUCGCUGCUGUGAGACAGUCGUGUACAAACAGAUACAAAAUGAACGGCAAUGCGGUUAGAGUACUGGCUAUUUACUUUUUAUGGAAAAAAAGGCAAGAAAAACGUCGAAGAACAGUAGGUGUUGAUCCUUAUAACGCUACAAGGUUACUGAGAGGCGAACACGUAACAUCUUUCUCUGAUUUACGAGAAAAUAGUUAUAAAUUUUAUAAAUAUUUUCGCCUAUCAACCAGCAGUUUCGACGAAUUACUGUGCAAGUUAGAGUUUUCUUUACGAAGAUCCAGCAUACGUCGCAUCCCCAUAGCUCCAGUGGAAAAAUUGGCGAUUACUCUAAGGUUUUUGGCAACGGGCAGUACUUUCUCCGAUUUAUCUAUCACAUACAGAAUGGGAAUCACUACUGUAGCUAAGAUAGUAGAUGAAGUUUGUUCGACUAUAUGGGAAAAACUGCGUCAUGAAUGUCUACCUUUUUUUUUUUUUUUUUUUUUUUUUUAUCGUGGGGAAAUCCUCAUGGAUACCUUCUCGCCACGGGGAGGCAAGAAGGUUAUGUCGGACUUCAACCGACUAAAACCCCACGGUGUUCCGACUCACCGCCUGAUGACUGAGCCGCGGGAACAUUUCAUAAAAUGAAUGUCUACCUGAACCAACUACAGAAAUGUGGCAGCGCAUAAGUGAAGAAUUUCAGUUAUAUGCAAAUUUUCCAAAUUGUUGCGGGGCGAUAGAUGGUAAACACAUACGUAUAGUAAAUCCUGCAGGUGGAGGCUCAAUGUUUUAUAAUUAUAAACAUUUCUAUUCUAUCGUCCUUUUGGCAAUGUGCGAUGCGAACUAUUGUUUCACAUAUAUUAACAUAGGUUCUUGCGGGAAAAACUCAGACUCUACAAUAUUUCAAGAGAGUUCACUAUUUCAAAAGUUACAGAACAAUAGUUUGAGGUUGCCAGGUGUAAAGCAUCUGCCGGGCACUAAUAUAACAGUACCACACAUAAUAGUUGGUGAUGGUGCCUUUGGUAUAUCCAACCAUGUGAUGAGACCUUAUGUGCGAUCCAACAUGACUCAUAAAAAGAAAAUAUUUAAUUACCGCUUAAGUCGUGCUAGACGGUACAUAGAGUCGACGUUUGGAAUAAUGUCCAACAAAUUCAGAGUAUUCCAUACUCCUAUGAGUGUCAGUUUUCCUAUUGCAAAAAAGAUAGUUCAAGCCUGUUGCAUAUUGCAUAAUUUUAUUAGAGUACGGGAUGGCUACAACGUUAAUCACACAUUAACUAUAACGGGAUUGACUGAUCUAAUUAACGACCCAGAUCAUAGAUCAGGAAACACAUUACGCGAUAUAUUCGCUAAUUACUUCGUAUCACCCACUGGUAGCGUGUCAUGGCAAGAUAGAUCUGUGUUCUGAUUUUAUAGUUGACACCUACCGCGAAAUUCAAAAAUGGAACGAAACGAAACGCAGUAAUAUCGUCGUGGCUUAUUUGAUUUACCUACCCAAUUAAUAUUUUUCACUAGGUGACCCGGCAGACGUUUAUGUUUUAAUGGAGGAUGGAGGAUUUCGUUUGUGCAACUAGCGGUAAACAUGUAUGUAACAAAAAAGAUUUUAUUAAUAAAUGUUUCUUACCUAA